CUACGGGUGGCUCCAGUGAGGAAUAUUGCACAAUGGGGGGAACCCUGAUGCAGCAACGCCGCGUGGAGGAUGGCGCAUUUCGGUGUGUAAACUCCUUUUAUAUGUCAAGAAAAUGACGGUAGCAUAUGAAUAAGCACCGGCUAACUCCGUGCCAGCAGCCGCGGUAAUACGGAGGGUGCAAGCGUUACUCGGAAUCACUGGGCGUAAAGGACGCGUAGGUGGGUUGGAAAGUCAGGUGUGAAAUCCUACAGCUUAACUGUAGAACUGCACUUGAAACUUCUAAUCUAGAGUAUGGGAGGGGGAGAUGGAAUUAGUGGUGUAGGGGUAAAAUCCGUAGAUAUCACUAGGAAUACCUAAAGCGAAGGCGAUCUCCUGGAACAUUACUGACGCUAAGGCGUGAAAGCGUGGGGAGCAAACAGGAUUAGAUACCCUCGUAGUC
rnacentral:rRNA from 1 species